GACGAACGCUGGCGGCGUGCCUAACACAUGCAAGUCGAGCGCUGAAGCUUUGUACUUGUACCGACAGGAUGAGCGGCUGACGGGUGAGUAACGCGUGGAGCAUCUGCUUUUGUGUGGGGGACGAUAAUGGGAAACGAAUUAUAAUAACACAUAAAAACUUUAAACAGAAGAUUCAAGUGUGAUAGAUGCCAUUGCAGCAUUCAAAGACGAUUCCGCGUUGUAUUAGCUAGUGGGUGAGGUAAAGGCCCACCAAGGCGAUGGUACCUAGCCGACCUGAGAGGGUGGUCGGCCCCCUUGGGACUGGGACCCGGCCCAAACUCCUACCGGAGGCAGCCGUAGGGAAUCAUCGGCCAUUGGCGGAAGUCUGAACGAACCACGCCGCGGGAGUGAAGAAGGUUUUCGGGUCGUAAAACUCUGUUUGUAGGGAAGAAAGAUCGUGAGGGUGGAAAGCUCAUCAAGUGACGGUAACUACCCAAAAAGCAACGGCUAACUACGUG
rnacentral:rRNA from 1 species